AAAGUGAAUAGUGAAAUCUGGAGGCUCAACCUCACAGGCUAUUAUUCAAACUCGCAGACUCGAGAAUGGUAGAGGUAACUGGAAUUUCUUGUGUAGGAGUGAAAUCCGUAGAUAUAAGAAGGAACACCAAUGGCGUAGGCAGGUUACUGGACCAUUUCUGACACUAAGGCACGAAAGCGUGGGGAGCGAACGGGAUUAGAUACCCCGGUAGUCCACGCCGUAAACGAUGGAUGCUA
rnacentral:rRNA from 1 species